GCCGCGGGCAGCCCGGCGGCGGCGCGGCGGGGCCGGGGCGGGGCGGACCCCGCUGGCGGCGGGACUUGGCGCGGCGGUUCUGGAACCAGACCUGCGGAGAGAGGCGGCGGUGAGCGCGGCGGGGCGGCCCCGCGCGGCGGGCGCGGCACAGCCGGCGCCCCUCACCUGGAUGCGGGACUCGGGGAUCUGCGUGGCGUCGGCCAGCUUCUCCCGCAGCUUGUGUCUUGUGGUUAUUGAGAAAAGGAUCCAAAUGUGAAGCAAGUUUUGCUCUGAUGGUUCAAAACCAGAAGACAAUACACAGAACCAGAACUGUCCUGGUAUGGUUGGAUGCCUAUUACAAUAUGAACACAAACCCAUGAUCUUUCUCUGCCCUUGUGCUAUUAAAAUCCACCAAGUUUUCCCUCUCUGACUGGAAAAUCCUUCAUCUGGCUUCCCUGUGCUUCCCUGCUGCUUCUCAGGCAUGUGCCAAGGUCAGUGCUCUGGCUUCAGUCUAAUCAUUCAUUCUAAAUGUUUCCCACCCUCUUUUCUGAUCAGUUUUAGAGAUGAGGGACUUUUAGUCUCAUGUAUCAUAACAUUUACAACAAAACCAUUUUGAUUUUGCUCUUGCAUUUUUUUCUGGGCGCUUGAAUUUCAAAGGUUUUCAAGCCUCUGUAAAGUUUGGAAGAUUUUCAGGUUUAACAUGUGGAUAGAACGUGGGAAGUUUCACCUGAGCUGGGGUUUUGCAAUUGAUCAUUAAAUCAGCAGUACCACAUGAUCAUAGCUGGGGAGUGCAGUGGUUACUAUGCCAUUUGAUUAAGUCAUUCUCUUCUGUGCAUGAACUGACUCAUAUUUCUUUGCUAUUUAAAAAUCAAAUUAAAGAGAAGUGCCAUGCAACACACUCAGUAGGCAUUACUUCCAUGGGUUAUCCUGACUUUGGUAAGCCCACAGCACAGUUUUCUGUUGCCUGACUCACACAGAAGCUCCAGGCAUUUGCACAGAUCAGUAUCUCCAUCCUCCUCCCCUACUGUCCCAUCCCCCUGCCUCAGCCAUCCCAGAUAAGUUGUCCAACAGCAUCCUGUGUGUUGGCUCACUCCUCUGGCAAAGGCACUCUCUGAGGCAAAUCCUGCCUCCAGCCUGCACUGCUGCUCCCCUGGGCUGCCCUGCUCAUUCUCUCACUCCCAUUUUACAUGACAGCUGGUUUUCAUCCCCUUUCAUUCAAGCUCAACUCCUCUGCUUUUAUUUCUGGCAGGGUUAUUUUUCUAUUUGACUUUGGCUCUGUUUGCUAAGGCUGCACCCUUGUCACCUCCUUAUUCUGAUCCUCUCCUUUAUUGACUAAAGGUCUUCUUCUCUUUCUUUUUAUUGGUAUUUUUAUCUCUUUCUCCAUUAUCUUUUAGUCCCCUUGAUUCUUACCCCUCUCUUUUGUAUAUGACCAAGUUUGUUUUACACAUUACUUGGAAGAUUUAAGACUUUUCUCCUUGACAGCUUCUCUUCCUUGCCCCUGGAAGAUUCCCCGUGCUGCUGGACACAUGGCAAAGAGCAAAUGCAUUUAUUACUCCAGAUGUGACAACUGCAAUCCAAGAUGGAGAGUGACUCCAGGCUGGGGUGAUCUCAGCUGCUCUCUACUGUCAUCUUAGCUGUCCCCCACAUCUUUACAAGACCACGUUUUUCCUCUUUUGCAAUCACAUCUUUGCAGCUGGGAUACCUCUUACCUAAGUCUUGGAUCUUUGAGGUGUCAGAAGAAUCAUCAAACCAACUCCUGCAACAUAUUAGAAGGGAACAUCUUGUGCUGUAUCACUGGGGAAUAAAAAAAAAUACUUCCUUUCAAAACACAUGUUUUUCCCUCUAAUAUACUUUACAAGUUGAGGAAAAGAAGCUCUUUCAAAAAAUAAAAUUAAGAAAA